CUGUUGAGGCGAGUUUAUGGAUAUCCCCGGCCCCCAGUGGUCCCUGCUUCGGAUGAUUUGGGGCAAUUCCAUCUGAAUGCACAUCACUACCAAGGCCAAGGUUUUGGAAGGAAGCCCUUCUCCUCUCCCAUCUCAAGAUUACACCAUGGGACCCUGGAAGAGGGGACUCAGGCCCCUGUCCCUGGAUGCUUGACCAGUGCACACUGCUGCCUGCCUUUUCUUUGUGUCCAUCCGGGAACAGCCUUCUGCCAGCUUCUAUGUUACCUGUCCUCAGUCCACUUGAAUCUCUUGAGAGAGCUGAAUCCUGUGUGUGCCUAGGCCCUGCCACAGGGACCUGGACGAUCUGCCUUUUGAGACAAGGUUGUUGAUGUCCUGUGCCCCCGGUGGACCCUGCUUCUGGUGAUGUGGGGCAGCAUCCACCUGAAUGCUCUUCACCACGUAGCCCAAGAUUUUGGAAGGAAGCCCUUCUCCUCUCCUAUCUCAAUAUGAGACCAUCGGUCCAUGGGCAAUAGUCUCCCCUGGUGUCACAACUUCCCGUGUGCUCUUGGUUCUGGGACACCACCACCCCACUGCUCUAGCAGGUCUGGGGUCAGCCUUGGAGGCCCCUUCUUUGCUCGCCGCCUUGACCUGGAAGCUUGGGUCAGCAGAUCUAAGGCCAACCUGGCAGCUGUACUGCUCACCCUGAAAAUAUUUAUACAAAGAUCAAGAUCGUUAUCCAUUAAAAGUUCACAUUUUAAGUAUUCGGCCUCCAGAUUUCUGUCCUCAAAUUCCUGCCUUGACUUCCUUCCACAGUGGACUGUCAUCUGUAAGCCAAAUAAACCCUUUCCCAGAA